CUUUGGGUAGUUUCAUAGUGGGUUUUUCUGCUCUGUAAAUUUUUGGAUUACAUAGUAGUCAAGUAUUUCUAAUCAAGUCAAAUGCUUUUUUUUUUUUUUUUUCCCAAAAGAACCGAGCUCAAGCUGCCAUGGAAUUCUUGCAAGAACUAAAUAAUGACGUCUCUGGAAACUUUGUGGAAGAGAGUCCAGAAAACCUUCUAGACAAUGAUCCUUCAUUUUUCUGUAGGUUUACUGUUGUGGUUGCAACUCAGCUUUCUGAAAGUACAUUACUACAUUUAGCAGAUGUCCUCUGGAAUUCCCAAAUCCCUCUGUUGAUCUGUAGGACAUAUGGACUGGUUGGUUAUAUGAGGAUCAUUAUAAAAGAACAUCCAGUAAUAGAAUCUCAUCCAGAUAACGCAUUAGAAGAUCUGCGACUGGAUAAGCCAUUUCCUGAGCUGAAAGAACAUUUUCAGUCUUAUGAUUUGGAUCAAAUGGAAAAAAAGGUUGGUGUGUGUGACUUCUUUUUUUUUUUUGGCCAGUCCUGGGGCAUGAACUCAGGGCCUGAGCACUGUCCCUUGCUUUCUUUUGCUCAAGCCUAGCACUUUACCACUUGAGCUACAGCACCACUUCCAGCCUUUUCUGUUUUUAUGGUGCUGAGGAAUCAAACCCAGGACUUCAUGCAUGCUAGGCAAGCACUAUACCGAUAAGCCAAAUUCCCAACCC